rnacentral:lncRNA from 1 species
CCAGUGACAGCAGGUGUUCAGCCAGUUUCUGAGGGCUGGAGAAAUCCUUCACGUGGAUGAAAGAAUCUUUAGGCACAAAUCUCUCAUAUAUGUAUCUUGGAGCCCCAAGAGCCACCGGCACUGAUCCAAAGGUCCAUAUUGAAAAGGAUGGCCAAAUGAUCAGAUAACCAUGGGCCUACAGAGAUUGUCAUGUCUGUGCUGUUUGUUAUGACCGAUAAGAAAAUGGCAAAGUAUAUCAGCUCAUAUGGUGACCAACAAGAUGUCAUGUCCUUCUGUCAACAAACAGCGGCCUUUUCUGAUAAAAGAGUCCCUAAUAAAGAAUUUAAGAGAUAAAACUGAAUCAAGGAAACUUGAGUUGGGUCAAAGUCAUUUAAAGCAUUGCAAGGUUUGGGGAUGUGUCUUCCCUAAGAAAAAGAAUGUAAAGACAAGAUAGAAAAAGAAAUUUCCAGUAAGAACCAACAGGAGAGUUGGAAUUGGAUGGCUUCACAAUACUUGUAUUUAAUACCGGCAUGUGAGAGAGGUUUUCUUACAGAUGAAGAAUCUUUAUCUGAUGAGGAUAAAGAGCAAUGGAAUGAACAUUCAUUUCUAAAGUAUUGAUUAGAUAGUGAUGCAGAGAGAUCUGCUGCACCAUUGCCAUUGUAUGGAUGUAAAAGUGACUUUUAUCAAACAA